rnacentral:rRNA from 1 species
UACGUAGGGGGCAAGCGUUGUCCGGAUUUAUUGGGCGUAAAGAGCUCGUAGGUGGUUCGGUAAGUCGGAUGUGAAAUCUCCAGGCUCAACCUGGAGGGGUCAUUCGAUACUGCCGUGACUAGAGGUCGGUAGGGGAGUGUGGAAUUCCUGGUGGAGCGGUGAAAUGCGCAGAUAUCAGGAGGAACACCGGUGGCGAAGGCGGCUUGCUGGGCCAGUUCUGACGCUGAGGAGCGAAAGCGUGGGGAGCAAACGGG